AUGGCGGCGAGCGACCCGCAACUUUGCCGGGAGCCCGGCCAGCGCCCCCGCCGCCCCGUGUGCGCCGUCUGCACGAAGCCCCUCCGCGUCUGCCUCUGCGGCCGCCUCCGCGGGCCCCCGCUGGACACCGCCGUCGGCGUCACUGUGCUGCAGCACCCCACGGAGGCCCAGCACCCGCUCAGCUCCGUCCGCGUCGCCCGCCUCGGCCUCCGCAACCUCGCCGUCGCCCAGGUCGCCGACGUCGCCCACCGCGCCAGCUUCCUCCUCACAACGAAUAUUGGACUUGGAGGCGGAGAAACUGAAAAUGCUGAAGCCGGUGCCGCCAUUGGAGAAGCUUGGACGGUGGAAACCAUGGACAAGUGCUCCAUCGCUUACACGGAGAAGCAGCUCAUGAUCGACAUCGAGCGCGGCGUCGGCGCGAACGCCAAGAUCAGGUGGCCGUCAAGAUGUUCUCCUCUUGCCAAACUCGCCGUCUCCAACGGCUUCACCGUCACCAAGACACAGAACAACAAGCCCAGACGUAGCACAGGCGACCAAGCCUCGCCGUCGCCGGAGCUCCAACAUGAGUUCUCCAUCGCCAUACCGCCGCACUCGGCCCUGCUGUUCCCAUGCCAGCGCGCGACCGCCAUCGACGCAGCUUCAGAUCACCAGGUACUAGUCAAACAUCUGAUCGUGCUGGAUGGCACCUGGGCGAAGGCGCACCGGAUGUACCACGAGAACCCAUGGCUGCAGCUCGUGCCGCACGUGAAGGUGGAAGCAGAUGGUGUCAGCCUGUACGGCGAGGUGAGGCAUGAGCCCAAGGCCGGGUGCCUGUCGACCAUCGAGAGCAUCGUCGUCGCCAUGAAGGAGCUUGGGGAGGACGAGGCAGAGUUGGAUCGUGUUCUGGCCGUCUUCGAGUCGAUGAUCGCCGACCAGCGACGCUGCAAGGAUGAGAACUGCAAGCCAUAA
rnacentral:rRNA from 1 species